rnacentral:rRNA from 1 species
UACGUAGGGUGCAAGCGUUGUCCGGAAUUAUUGGGCGUAAAGAGCUCGUAGGCGGUUUGUUGCGUCGGCUGUGAAAACCUGAGGCUCAACCUCAGGCCUGCAGUCGAUACGAGCAGACUAGAGUGUUGCAGGGGAGACUGGAAUUCCUGGUGUAGCGGUGAAAUGCGCAGAUAUCAGGAGGAACACCGGUGGCGAAGGCGGGUCUCUGGGCAACAACUGACACUGAGGCACGAAAGCUAGGGGAGCAAACAGG